rnacentral:lncRNA from 1 species
AAAAGACUGUCUUUUCCCCAUGUUAUGUUUUUGCCUCCUUUGUCAAAGAUUUAUUGACCAUAGGUGUCUGGGUUUAUUUCUGGGUUCUCUAUUCUGUUCCAUUGGUCUGUCUGUCUGUUUUGGUACCAAUACCACACUGUCUUGAUGACUGUGACUUUGCAAUAUUGCCUGAAGUCUGGGAGAUUUAUGCCUCCUGCUUGGUUUUUGUUCCUCAGGAUUGCUUUGACAAUUCUGGGUCUUUUGUGCUUCCAUAUGAAUUUUUGGAUUGUUUGUUGUAGUUCUGUGAAAAAUGUCAUGGGUAAUUUGAUAGGGAUUGUAUUGAAUCUGUAGAUUGCUUUGGGUAGUAUGGCCAUUUUUUUUUUCUUUUUUUUGUCUUUUUGCCAUUUCUUGGGCUGCUCUGCAGCAUAUGGAGGUUCCCAGGCUAGGGGUUGAAUCAGAGCUGUAGCCACUGGCCCACGCCAGAGCCAGAGCAAUGCGGGAUCUGAGCCAUGUCUGCAACCCACACCACAGCUCAUGGCAAUGCCGGGUCAUUAACCCAUUGAGCAAGUCCAGGGAGUGAACCCGCAACCUCAUGGUUCUUAGUUGGGUUCCUUAACCACUGCGCCACAAUGGGAACUCCAGUAAGGCCAUUUUUACAAUAUUAAUUUUUCCAACCCAGGAUCAUGGAAUAUCUUUCCAUGUUUUACAUCUUCUUUAAUUUCCUUGAUUAUUUUUUCAUAGUUCUCAGCAUAUAAGUCUUUCAUCUCCUUGGUCAGGUGGAUUCCCAGGUAUUUGAUUUUCUGGGGUGCGAUUUUAAAAGGUAUGUAUUUUUGUAUUUCUCAAUUGAUUUAUUUUUGCUUUUAUUUCUGUUGCCUUGGGAGUCUGAGCUGAGAAAAUAUUUGUAGGCUUGAUAUCAGAGAAUAUUUUGGCUAUGUUCUCUUCUAGGAGUUUGAUGGUGACUUGUCUUAUGUUUAAGUCUUUAAGCCAUUUUGAGUUUAUUUUUGUGCAUGUUGUGAGAGUGUCUUCCAGUUUCAUUGAUUUAAAUGCAGCUGUCCAGUUUCCCCAGCACCACUUGCUGAAAAGAAUGUUGUUUUCCCAUUUUAUGUUCUUGCCUCCUUUGUCAAAGAUUAAUUUGACCAUAGCUGUCUGGUUUUAUCCCUGGAUUCUCUAUUCUGUUCCAUUGGUCAUAUGGCAGAUUUGGUACCAGUACCACACUGUUUUGAUGACUGUGGUUUUGUAAUAUUGCCUGAAGUCUGGGAGAGUUAUGCCCCCUGCUUGGUUUUUGUUCCUCAGGAUUGCUUUGACAAUUCUGGAUCUUUUGUGAUUCUAUAUAAAUUUUUGGAUUGUUUGUUGUUGUUCUGUGAAAAAUGUCAUGAGUAAUUUAAUAGGGAUUGUGUUGAAUCUGUAGAUUGCUUUGGUAAGUAUGGCCAUUGUUACAAUACUGAUUUUUCUAACCCAGGAGCAUGGACUAUCUUUCUAUUUUUUGAAUCCUCUUUAAUUUCCUCGAUUAAUGUUUUAUUGUUCUCAGCACAUAAGUCUUUCACUUCCUUAGUCAGGCGUAUUCCCAGGUAUUUGAUUUUUGGGGGUGCAAUUUUAAAAGGUAUUGUAUUUUUGUAUUCCUUUUAUAAUAUUUCAUUGUUAGUACACAGAAAUGUGACUGAUUUCUGAAUAUUAAUCUUCUAUCCUGCUACUUUGCUGAAUUUGUUAAUCAGUUUGAGUAGUUUUUGGCUUGAGUUGUUAGGGUUUUCUCUAAAUAGUAUCAUGUCAUCUCCAUACAGUGAUAAUUUUACCUCUUCUCUUAUAAUUUGGAUACCUUUUAUUUCUUUUGUUUGUCUGAUUGCUGUGGCUAGGACUUCUAAUACAAUGUUGAAUUAAAGUGGUGAGGGUGGGCAUCUUUUUCUUGUUCUGGAUUUUUGUGGGAAGGCUUUCAGAUUUUCUCCAUUGAGUAUUAUAUUUGCUGUGCGUUUGUUGUAAAUGGCUUUUAUUAUGUUAAGGUAAGAAAAACAUUAUUUGAUGAUUCAGGUAAUCUUGGAUUUCUGCACUGACUUUUCAAUGACAAGGUAUCUGAUACGUACUAAUCAGCCUAGUUCUUACCAUGUCUUUGAUAUUCUCUGGUACAGCAAUUUGAAACUACACUCAAUUCCAUUUGGCAAAAUGUCCUAUGAUAUUUUUUACAACUGUGCAUUAAUUUCUUACAGAACAUUAAUGGUACCCUCUAAGAGAACUAAUAGCAUUAGUGGAUAUCUUUUCUUAUGUUGUAGAGUCAGUCUAAAUUUUCUCUGUUUUUUGAAAAUCAUUUAAUCUGCAAGAUUGGUUUCCUAACUAAAUUUUGAUUAUACCAUUUAAAAAAAGGUUGUUUCCAAGGGGAGGGUGGAGGAAGUGGAAUGGAUGGGAUUUGUGCUUAGUAGAUGCAAACUAUUACAUUUAGAAUGGAUAAGCAAUGAGGUCCUACUGUACAGACUAGGAAAAUACAUACAAUCUCUUGAGAUAGACCAUGAUAGAAAAUAGUAUGAGUAAAAAAUAGUAUGACUGGGUCACUGUGCUGUAUGGCAAAAUUGACACAACCCUGUAAAUCAACUAUGCCCUAUUUUUUAACAAGGCAAGAUUAUUUUUGAUUUUAUAUUAAACAUCUCAUAGGUAUGAUAUACUGAAUAAAUGCUAUUUAUAAUUAUGGAGUAUGAUGGAGAUGAUGAUUGUGGGAUUGCUUUUAUGGCUCUCAGGUACAAGGAUACUGCAUGAAAUAUUUUAAUUUAUCCUUUGUAUUCUCAGAUGAAACUUUUUGAUAUCCCUGACAAUUAAGUCCAGUUAAAAAUUGUUUUUCUGGGGUUACCAUUUUGGCUCAGCCCUAACAAAUCCUACCAGUCUCCAUGAGGAUACAGGCUUGACCCCUGGCUUCACUCAGUGGGUUAAGGAUCUGGCAUUUCCAGUGUAGGUCUCAGAUGCAGCUAGGAUCUAGUGUUGCUGUGGCUGUGGUGUAUACUGGCAGCUGUAGCUCUAACUUAACCCCCAUCCUGGGAGAUUCCAUAUGCUGAGGAUGCAGCCCUAAAAAG